rnacentral:rRNA from 1 species
GGUAGAGCCGGGCACUCUGGCGGGACUGCCAUCGACAAGAUGGAGGAAGGUGGGGAUGACGUCAAGUCAUCAUGGCCCUUAUGUCCAGGGCGACACACGUGCUACAAUGGCCGGCACAGCGGGAAGCGAGGCAGUGAUGCCAAGCGGAUCCCUUAAAGCCGGUCUCAGUUCGGAUUGAAGUCUGCAACUCGACUUCAUGAAGCUGGAAUCGCUAGUAAUCGCAGAUCAGUCAAGCUGCGGUGAAUACGUUCCCGGGCCUU